rnacentral:lncRNA from 1 species
AUUAUAAUCCAUAAUCCUCAUCUCUUCCUUUCUUUCUAAACUUUGGGACCGCAGCAAGACCGCGACCAUUCUUCUUUAGUUGCACACUUGAUGAUCGCAUUCUGCCUCUCAUCCUCACACGCGUGUAUAGAUUCCAAAGUGGAAGUGUGUUUUUGCAGGUCCGUGAUCAUGUACACUUUCUCUGUAGAUGAAAACACAAGGAUUAUUAGACGUAGGUUUUGAGUUUGCCCGAGUUAAUGGGAUAGCUUUUAAUCUCUCUAGCUAGCUAUGUGCGACAGCUGCUCUGAAAGGAGAAGAUCCAAACCACUUGCUCAC